GGCUCUUUGGAAUAAAUAUAUAAAGAGUCGAUACCUGCCCAGUGAUUUUUUUAAACGGCCGCGGUACUCUGACCGUGCAAAGGUAGCAUAAUCAUUUGCCCUAUAAUUGAGGGCUUGUAUGAACGGUUUGACAAGAGCAUAACUGUCUCUUAAAAAUUUUAUAGAAUUUGGUUUUUAGGUGAAGAAACCUAAAUAUAAUUGAAAGACAAGAAGACCCUAUCGAGCUUUAGAGUAAUUAAUUAAAAAAUAUAAUUAAAAAAAUUAAUUUUAAUUAAAAACUUUGGUUGGGGCGACUGAGGAACAUAUAAAGCUUCUUUAAUUAAUAUAUGCCUAUAAGCUGUGAUCCAAAAAGUUUGAUUAAAAAAAUUAGUUACCGUAGGGAUAACAGCAUAAUCUUUUUCAAGAGUUCUUAUCGAAAAAAAGGUUUGUGACCUCGAUGUUGGACUACGAUAUCUCAAAGAUGCACAAGUCUUUAAGAGUUGGUCUGUUCUACCAUUAAAAUCCU
rnacentral:rRNA from 1 species